AUUUCCGACAGCAAAUUGCCCGACAUGCAGGCGGGUUGGGAACAGGGGAUCACCAAUGUGUUGGCGGGCCUGUCGGGGCUGAACAUGGUUUACGAGGCCG
rfam:Loktanella vestfoldensis SKA53 scf_1099451320118 genomic scaffold, whole genome shotgun sequence.